ACCUCAUGAAAACCUAGACCUCAAACACCUAAAUGACUAAAUCCCCUUCAUCUUCAACUUCAAUCCCCUUCUUCCUCUUCCUCAACUUUCUACAUCCAUCGACGUUGUCCCGAUCAUGAUAUUCUGAUCCCAAAUCUUCGCAACACUCUCUCAUAUGAGUCGUAUCUGUGAAUGACGUAGGGGAGGAUUGGGAACCUAUUUCUGAUCGGACGAGCUAUAGAUCUAUGCUUCAAUCAAUAGAGGAAGACGAGCAGCCCAAGGCUCGCUUAUUUCUGAUCGGAAAAAUCCCACAACAGCCCAAGGUUUAUUACUAUUCGGUAAUUGUUUUUGCCAUCUAUAGAAUUGUUGGUUAACGAUUAAUUAUCUCCUUUUCAAUUGAGUUUGAUAAUUGCUUUUUGUUAAAUUGACGGGAGAACGGUUCUUGAUGGAGAAGAGGACGGCUUUAGUUCUGGGUUUGGGUUUUGGCUUCCUGCAAGUCAAAAGCUGAUCAUUUGAUUGAGGCUGGUGAUAAGAUCUAUUUCUGGGACCUUUUUUGGAGGCAAGUGGAAUUAUGUAAAGUGAUCUUCUUUUGGGGAAUGUCAGCACUUAGCUCAAGAACAAGAACAUCACUACUAAUGUUAAAGUUGAUACCAAUUCAAACGUAAGUUUUUAGGCACUUCUAGUUAUUUUUACCUUCAAUAAAUCAUACUUUGGAUUAAUUUGUAGUAUUAAAAUCGAACUUUGAAAGGAAAUAAGGAGGUUUAGUGCUGAAGAGUCAGCUCUUGGCUGAUCAGAUAGGAUAAGUUCCUAUAUUAUGGUAUGUAGUGAUAUAUGUUGUGGUCUACUGUAGCCCAUUCAACAUGAAAUCACAAAUAUGACAAAAGAAACAAACUUUUGAAAUUAAGUUUGUUUAACAUUUAUUGGUUUCAACUUAUUUAGUCUUAUUGUUUGUGUUAGGAGUGUGUGAUUGUAUAUGUAUAUUUAUAAUAGUUGAUUAUAAGGAACUAAUGAAAGGCCUAUAGCACAUGUUUCUCUAAACAAGGCAACAGCUCAAAGUACAGGUUUCUCUAUCCUCAUAGCAAUUGCUGGUCAUGUUUGCACUUUGAGAAAUUCUUAAUGUUUGACAAAUUACCAAGUUUUAGUUUCUUUCCUAUACACUGAUUAAGAUUCAGUAAUUCAGUGCAUACUGUACUUGAAGCCCUGAUGUUUAUAAUGUGUCUUUACUUUGUUAGCUUUGCAGGGAAAAAUAAGCUUGUUAGGAUAGAACAUUUCUUUGUCUGCAUAAGGGAAAACAGGUUUAUAGAUGACACUUCCAAGUUUUUUACAGAACCGCAAGGUAAGGAUAGAUAGUUUAACCUCCUAAAUGAGUUAUUCCUGUUUCAAGGUCAAUUAAGGAUAGUUGGUCUAACCUUAUAUAUCAGAAAAAAAUAUGAACCGACUGUACAAUUUUUAAGACUUUUUAAGAUUCAAUUAUGUUCAGUUAUGCUUUUUAUAAUAAAGAGAAAGGGGCUUGUGAUCCCUGUACUAUUGUUUUGUAGCUUGCACUUUUUUUGUGAAGUUCAGUAAUAUUGCAAGAGUAGAAGGAGGUGA